rnacentral:lncRNA from 1 species
CUAGAUUCACAGCUCAGUAGAAAAUGAAGGAACCUUAAGAAAUGAUUGGUCCAGACUUAUUUUACAGGGGAAGAAACUGAGGCACAAGGAAGGAAAAAGAAAAAUUCAUUUUUACCACUCUCUCUCCCUUGGCACUCACAACCCCCACAGCUCAGAGCUCUGACAGACAGGGAGGAUAAUAGGGUUUAGAAACACAGGCAGAACCCCACCCCCAAGAAUUCCCUCCUUGGACCCCCAGCUUCUAUUCAGCUGACAUUGUCACUCUAUUCCCACCUUCUGUUACUUCUUCCCCUCCUCCCAGCACCCCCAGUCUCAGACUCCUCCCCCCUCCCCCAGAUCUCCAUAAGAACCUAGAAUGCCUGGGUUCUUGGGCACAGUAACCUUGGCUGCUGCCUCAGUUUCUCUCCCAUUCCCCCCAUUAUCUAAAGUGGGGCUGGAUGUAGAGGAGGUGGUCGCCAUGGCAACGGGGCCUUUAAGAGGCCUCCUCUCCUCCCCCAUCCUUUUCCCUCCCACACACCAGUCCCUCCGAUCUGCCUCCAGGCAGACCCUGGGGCGUCCCCCCACACACUCUUUGUAGUCCUAGUUUGCCAGGAGGGGGCCCUCCCAGGCCCUAUCCCCUGCCCCCUUCCAUCCACCGCGCCUGAGCCGUGAGGAAGUGUCUUUGAGUGGCCAGGGGCCCUGUCCCCCCAGCCCCUCCCUUCUGGACAAUGACCCCCUCCUCACCUGGAGCUGCUUGUAGUCAGGCCUCCGCUGAGAUUGGCAGAUGGGUACAGGGAAGAAGUCUCCUAUCCCAGUUGUCCAGAGGACCCAGGUGUCCAGGGAGCUGGGUCGCAGGGUUUGGGGGCUGAGAACCCAGGUGUCUGGGGGCUGAGUCGCUGGGAUGGGGAGCCUGAGAGCAGGGUGUUGGAGGACCCGGUUGUCUGAGAAGCUGAGCUUCUGGGAUGGAGAAUGGAGAGGGUCCUGUACUUCAUGGGAAACCAGGCUUCACUGGACUGCCCUGUGGCCGGCAGGGUUAGGACUUCAAGUGCCCAGAAGAGGAAAGCUCCAGAGCCUCCCUCUGGCCCCUCAGGUUCCAAAACCAUGCUGCCAGCUCCCUGCUGCUCUCACAAAGAGAGGUUUAUUGGGAGGUGGGCGGAGCAAUGGGGCUUCCAAAGCAGCCCAGUCACAGGAUGUGAGAACCAGGAGAGAAGCUUGCUGGUCACUCAGUCCAGCCCUCUCCUUCUUCAAAGGGAGAAACUGAGGCAAAAGGGAGGAAGUGAUGAGACCAUACGGGAUCUGUAAUCAUAGAGUAUCAGAGCUGGAAUGGCACCUCAAGACCAGAUGAUCAUCAGAUUUAAAGAAAGACCUUGGAAAUUAUGAAGUCCAAACCUUUCCUUUUUCAGAUGGGAAAACUGAGGCUCAG